GUGGGGAAUAUUGGACAAUGGGCGCAAGCCUGAUCCAGCCAUACCGCGUGGGUGAAGAAGGCCUUCGGGUUGUAAAGCCCUUUUGUUGGGAAAGAAAUCUUUCAGGCUAAUACCCUGAGAGGAUGACGGUACCCAAAGAAUAAGCACCGGCUAACUUCGUGCCAGCAGCCGCGGUAAUACGAAGGGUGCAAGCGUUACUCGGAAUUACUGGGCGUAAAGCGUGCGUAGGUGGUUGCUUAAGUCUGCUGUGAAAGCCCUGGGCUCAACCUGGGAAUUGCAGUGGAUACUGGGCGACUAGAGUAAGGUAGAGGAUAGUGGAAUUUCCGGUGUAGCAGUGAAAUGCGUAGAGAUCGGAAGGAACAUCUGUGGCGAAGGCGACUAUCUGGGCCAUUACUGACACUGAGGCACGAAAGCGUGGGGAGCAAACAGG
rnacentral:rRNA from 1 species